rnacentral:rRNA from 1 species
UGGCCGUAAACGAUGUGGACUUGGUGUUGGAAUGGCUCCGAGCUGCUCCAGUGCCGAAGGGAAGCUGUUAAGUCCACCGCCUGGGAAGUACGGUCGCAAGGCUGAAACUUAAAGGAAUUGGCGGGGAGCACCACAGCGGGUGGAGCCUGCGGUUUAAUUGGACUCAACGCCGGGAAGCUCACCGGAUAAGACAGCGGAAUGAUUGCCGGGCUGAAGACCCUGCAUGACCAGCCGAGAGGAGGUGCAUGGCGUAGUCGUGU